GGGGAUAUGGCCUAGUGGUAUGGCGUCUGCUUUGCAUGCAGAAGAUCCCGAGUUCGAUCCUCGGUGUCUCCA